GGGCGGAUGGUCUAGUGGUAUGUAUGAUCUCUGUUUCGCAUCCUUCCCAUGUCUCCCCCCCCCCCCCCCCCCACAAUAAAAAGAAACACUUGCGUUUGUUUACGCUUACAGAAUGUCAGGUCCCGUGUUCAAUUCACGGUUCGUCCA